CACCUGAGGGUCGACACCUUUCUUCUGUCUGGGAGUUUAGCCACUCAGCCACUCCAUCGGUGCUCUUUUCAACUCCGAACGUCCUUUGCACCAAUCUUCGCCAUCCCCGCCGGCUCUCCGCCGUCUUCAGUCCCCCUAGCCUCCCCAAGGAGUUCUCCCGCCGGGGCCCCCGCUCCGGAGGCCAACCUCGAGAGGAUGCCACGGACCAAGAGGAGUGUGGGGAGAAAACAAGUGGCCUGCGAGUUCUCUGUAGGAACCAGA
rnacentral:lncRNA from 1 species